UACGGAGGGUGCAAGCGUUAAUCGGAAUUACUGGGCGUAAAGCGUGCGUAGGCGGUUCGUUAAGUCUGUUGUGAAAGCCCCGGGCUCAACCUGGGAAUGGCAAUGGAUACUGGCGAGCUAGAGUGUGUCAGAGGAUGGUGGAAUUCCCGGUGUAGCGGUGAAAUGCGUAGAGAUCGGGAGGAACAUCAGUGGCGAAGGCGGCCAUCGUGGGACAACACUGACGCUGAGGCACGAAAGCGUGGGGAGCAAACAGGG
rnacentral:rRNA from 1 species